rnacentral:rRNA from 1 species
GACGAACGCUGGCGGCGUGCUUAACACAUGCAAGUCGAACGAUGAUCCUGGGUGCUUGCACCUGGGGGAUUAGUGGCGAACGGGUGAGUAACACGUGAGCAAUCUGCCCCGGACUCUGGGAUAAGCGCUGGAAACGGCGUCUAAUACUGGAUAUGACGCGCGAAGGCAUCUUCUGCGUGUGGAAAGUUUUUUCGGUUCGGGAUGAGCUCGCGGCCUAUCAGCUUGUUGGUGAGGUAAUGGCUCACCAAGGCGACGACGGGUAGCCGGCCUGAGAGGGUGACCGGCCACACUGGGACUGAGACACGGCCCAGACUCCUACGGGAGGCAGCAGUGGGGAAUAUUGCACAAUGGGCGCAAGCCUGAUGCAGCAACG